rnacentral:lncRNA from 1 species
GCCUGUGUCAAGGACUGCAAGUGGAUAUGUUAGAGGAUAGGUCUAUAAAGCUCAUUCUAAAAGAGUUUGGGAUACUACUUUUCUUCUGAAAGAAUCACAAUGUGAUUGUGACCCAUCAUGCUAUCUUCUUGAAAAAUUAUUUAUCCAAAAUGAAGUAGUGAGAGAAAAAUUAAGUUCGAAGAGAGUGUCUCUAAAGAGUAAUGAGU